AUUAUCUUGGACCGUUCGAGUUGUUGGGUAAGAUCCAACCGCAUGAUCCGCCUUUCACCGAAGAUUUACCGCGGUUGAACGCUCCCAACUUUUACUACCAUCAAGAAGACAUCCUCUUUGAAGAAAUCGAGAAAAAAGAAGGAUUAACCUGGUCGGUGCACCGACCCGGAGUCAUAUUCGGGUUUUCGCCUUACAGUUUAAUGAACCUCGUUGGCAGUCUUUGCGUUUACGCCGCCAUUUGCAAACACGAAGGCAAACCGUUACACUUUCCUGGGAGCAAAGCCGCUUGGAACUGUUACUUUGAAGCUUCGGAUGCGGAUUUGAUUGCGGAGCAACAUAUAUGGGCGGCGGUGGAUCCGUACGCCAAAAACGAAGCCUUUAAUGUGACUAAUGGGGAUGUUUUCAAGUGGAAGCAUUUGUGGAGCGUUUUGGCAGAGCAAUUUGGGAUAGAAGAAUUUGGGUUCGUGGAAGGGGAGAACCGGGGGAUGGAGGAGAUGAUGAAAGAGAAGGAAGGAGUUUGGGAAGAAAUAGUGAAGGAGAACCAGUUGCAGAAGACGAGUUUGCAGGUGGUGGGAAAUUGGUGGUUUACGGAUACGAUAUUUUCGGCUCCGUUGCAGAUGCCGCUGCUCAGUAUGAAUAAGAGCAAGGAGCAUGGGUUUUUGGGGUUUAGGAAUUCCCGGAAUUCAUUUGUUACUUGGAUUGAUAAGAUGAAGGCUUACAAGAUUGUGCCUUGAUCUCAUUCAAUCUCUUGUUUCAAAUUGUUUCCUUGGUUUUUCAGAUGAAGAUGAAAUUUCUGUUGUUGUACUUCUAAAAUAAGUUCGUAGGGUAAGCUAUUAAUUGGCAUGCUACCGUAAGAUGUCAGAAACAAUUGCUUACCUUCAAAGAGAAGCUUCUGUUGUAUUUGUGAAAAUGCUGUGUGCUUUUCUUUUCCCUUUAUUUGUUUAUGAUGCAUUGUUUAUUCUAUCUUGUAGAAUCCUGAAUUAUACUAUUUAUACUUGUUGAUUAGACAAAGUCUUGGCAAAUUUAUUGCAUAUCAGUUCAAUAUCAUGGUUAAUAGUUUCUGCCUGUGGUAAUGCUGUUAUAUGAUUAGCUUCCGUUAAGUGAUUAUACAUUUUAUAAUCAGCCUUGUUAUUUACUUGGUUUUAGCUUAUAGUUUUGAAUUACUCUUUCAGCUUUAGUCUUAGAUUUUUGGAAGCUUACUUUGUUUGAUUAGUUGCCUUCACUUUAUCUUUGUGGUGGUGCUUGAGAUAUGACCAUGGGGGAUGAUGACUACCAGUUAUGAAAAGGUUUGCAAGUGGUCCAUAUGGUAGACAUUCCCUAGGCUGAUGAAGGGGUAAAUUCAUAUUGGCUUUAUAACAGCACAAAUGAUUCCGAGCUGAUACCCACCUUAAAGAACUUGCAGAGUUAACAGGCACGGAACUAUAUGGUGGUAACUUGUUCACCCAUUUGAGUUACUGUAUACUGAUAAUCUGUUCACCUACCUGGGUGCCUUUUCUUAUUUAAGUUUAUUUAAGGACCCUCUCUAACUUGACAACAGAGGAGAGGCUGAUCCAUCCAUUUGUUUCCCAAAUGCUGUGUUGAUUACUUCGUUAUUAUCUGGUGAACCUUGAUACUAGAAUGUAGGUAGUAUUUUGUCUUUUUUAUUAAAAAAAUUGAAUAAAUCAAAGAAUAAAUUAGUUCUUUUGUUAACAACUGUCUGGUCAUUUCAUUAGACACGUUAAUUUUUAAUGGUAGAAAUUGAGAAAAUUGUUAACAAAAAAUAUUAGUUUGUUAUUUGAUCUAACGUAUAAGGAUUAACUUGUCAAAAUUUAGGGCAAAAUGUAAUAUGAUUUCUAGUACAAGAGUUUCUAUGGUUCUUGUACAAGUAAAAGUAUAAUAGAAGCUCUUGUAGGAGAAGUUGAAUUACAUUAAAAAAAUAGAUAGAUUAAUUUUGUUAAUCAUGCUAAUUUUUACCAUAAGAAAUGAUUAACUUUUUUUUAUCUAAUGUAAAAGAAUUAAUUUAUUUAAUUUUAAAUUAUAAAGAACAAAAUAUAAUUUAUCUCUUAAUAUAGAAAUUUGUAUAACAAUUUUAUGUUGUAACUGAUGUUUGAUGAAUUCAACUUAAGAUUCUUUCCCUCAACUCUCAGGUUACUUAUAUAAAAUAGAAUUUUAAUCAAGAUUUAAAAUAAAAGUGUUUGAACGAAAAUCUAAUGUAAAUAAAUUUCAAAGUAACUACGUAAAAUGGGUCCAACCAAGACUUAAUGUUAAUACAUCAGCUAUUACGUAUUGGUUUGGGAAAAUAAUGGGAAAGUCCUUUACCCUGUCAUUCAUGAUUCAGGGUGAGUUUGGAUGGGCGGUGCGUUUAUUUGCGGUUAGUGUAAAAACAGCGGUGGUGAUGAGAUUAGAUACUGUAGCGAUACUAUAACGUGAGACAAAAAGUAAGCUAAACGCACCACACCACACCCAAUCGUCCAUCCAAAUCCACAAUGACAAGAAAAUUUGUUGGAUGCUGCAUCUUCUCCACAAUAACAAGUAAAAGGAACAGGGAGAAGUCUAAAAUUUUUGUAAGGAUGGAAAUUAAAUAUUUAUUAUUUUUAGGGAACUAAAAUACAAUUUUACUUUUUAUUAAUUUUAAAAUUUUAAAAAAAUUAAAAUAUUAAAUAAAAAAAAUUCUAUUUUAAGAAGAUUAGGCCGUAACCACAAAUUAUUUUUGCCUAUACCAAUGAUAUAAAAUUUAGGAUUGAAUUGAGAGAAAAUGUAAAUACUAAAAAAUUAGGUCAAUUUUUGUCAAAUAAUAAAAUUUGAAAAAAUUAAAUUACUAAAUCGAUAAAAUUAAAAUGAUAUAAAACUAAUACCAAUGUCACAUAUUCCUUUUGAUUUUUAUAUAUUUUAAUAUUUUAGUCACAUCUUAACCUAUAACAAAAGUGAACACUAGUCUUGGUUUAUGGCUUUAACUACAUUGCCUCUACUGUAACCCAAACCAUACUGUUGGACAAGCUUUAAAUCUACUUUUAAAAUUUUAUUCAGCAAACAUUCAUGACAUGGAAAUUUACUGUAUUUGAUGAAGCUUAAAUUUGCAUUUUUGCACAAUUAUGACAUGUUUAAGAUAAGCAAAGAGUUGUGACCAACUUCAAUAUUUAAAGCUAUUAAAUUUAUGUCUGUUUCAUGUCUUAAUAGAGAAAAUGUUGAAUUAUUUUACUCAUGAAUUUUGUGGUUCUUCUAACAAUGGAUGGAGCUUGAAAUGCUGUUAAGUUUGAAAACUCAAGGUUUGUGCAAAAUUAACGUCAUAACGUGAGUAAAGAGAUCAGCAUCUUAUCCAACUACACAAAGGGCUGCCUAGAGACUGUUCAUUCAUCCAUCAUCUUACCAUUCGUGUUAGCUUGUUGAUUUGCGGUGUUGAUGGUGUUCUAACACUAAGGUUUUGUUUGAUAGAGUGAAAAGAAGAUUAAAAAGGUUUAGAAAAAUAGUAAGUCUUUCACUCUAAUUCUUGGUGGAAAUUUUGCUCAUCCAGACUGGGUGUUGGCUGCGCUCCUAUUUGCUUUUCAAUCCCAAAAAGAAGAGUUUCCAUAUGUGAAUCCCAAACAUCGUCACGGCUCUCCUCAUCCCUUUUGUCGUUUUCAUGAAUUGCUUGCUAUAAAUUGGCAACAAGGAGUAUUACUUAAAACCAAGAACAAAAUCCUUUCAAAUCCCUUUAAUCUUCUUGAUCAAUAAAACCACCCCACCCAGAUUGUUAGUUAGCUAUCCCAUCAAAUCAUCUAUCAUCAAUUUCCUAACGUUUCCUUUUUGGUUUAUUGCCGUCUCCCACAAAUCUAAUCUAAGUUGUUUUAAAGAAAGAAAAUGAGCUGGUGGUGGGCUGGUGCUAUCGGAGCUGCUAAGGCAACUCUCCUUUUUCAUUGGCUUGCUGGAUUUCUGUUUACCCUUCACGAAAUUGAUUCUUUUUCUUUGUUUUAAUUUUUGCAGAAGAAAUUUGAGGAAGACGAAGCACCGAAAAGCCUCAAGAGCGUUGGGCUGAUCAUUGGAGUCACCGGCAUAGUUGGCAAUAGCUUGGCUGAAAUCCUCCCUUUAUCCGACACUCCCGGCGGCCCAUGGAAAGUAUACGGGGUGGCUCGUCGGCCCAGACCCAACUGGAACGCCAACCAUCCAAUCCAGUACAUUCAAUGCGAUGUAUCCGACCCGAAUGAUACCGAAUCGAAGCUCUCUCAACUUACCGACGUCACUCAUAUCUUCUACGUCAGCUGGACCAACCGAACAUCCGAAGCAGAGAAUUGUGAGAUCAACGGUUCCAUGCUUCGCAAUGUUUUGCGUUCCGUGAUCCCAAACGCACCCAAUCUCCGCCACAUCUGUCUACAAACAGGAGUCAAACAUUAUCUUGGACCGUUCGAGUUGUUGGGUAAAAUCCAACUGCAUGAUUCGCCUUUCACUGAAGAUUUACCGCGGUUGAAUGCUCCCAAUUUUUACUACCAUCAAGAAGACAUCCUCUUUGAAGAAAUCGAGAAAAAAGAAGGAUUAACCUGGUCGGUGCACCGACCCGCAGUCAUAUUCGGGUUUUCGCCUUACAGUUUAAUGAACCUCAUUGGCAGUCUUUGCGUUUACGCCGCCAUUUGCAAACACGAAGGCAAACCGUUACACUUUCCUGGGAGCAAAGCCACUUGGAACUGUUACUUUGAAGCUUCGGAUGCGGAUUUGAUUGCGGAGCAACAUAUAUGGGCGGCGGUGGAUCCGUACGCCGAAAAUGAAGCCUUUAAUGUGGCUAAUGGGG
rnacentral:lncRNA from 1 species